rnacentral:lncRNA from 1 species
UAUAAUCUCUCGUCUAUUAAGAGAAAUACAAAAGUCUCCCUCUUCUCUCUAUUUAUUCUGCUUCUUCUUCUUGCUUUUAUAUUUCAUAACAUGUUAUCAGAGAUCUCUAUUUAUUCUUCUUGUUCUUACUUUUAUAUUUCAUAACACGUUAUCAGCACGACUCUGUAACAAAUUGAGAUAUCUAUUUCAAUCAAUUCGAU